GACGAACGCUGGCGGCGUGCUUAACACAUGCAAGUCGAACGGAGAGGCCCCUUUGGGGGUACUCGAGUGGCGAACGGGUGAGUAACACGUGAGUAACCUGCCCUUGACUUCGGGAUAACUUCAGGAAACUGGGGCUAAUACCGGAUAGGAAUCCUUGCUGCAUGGUAGGGGUUGGAAAGCUUCGGCGGUUUUGGAUGGACUCGCGGCUUAUCAGCUUGUUGGUGGGGUAGUGGCUUACCAAGGCUUUGACGGGUAGCCGGCCUGAGAGGGCGACCGGCCACAUUGGGACUGAGAUACGGCCCAGACUCCUACGGGAGGCAGCAGUGGGGAAUAUUGCACAAUGGGCGGAAGCCUGAUGCAGCAACGCCGCGUGCGGGAUGACGGCCUUCGGGUUGUAAACCGCUUUCAGCAGGGGCGAAGCUUGUGGUGACGGUACCUGCAGAAGAAGCACCGGCUAACUACGUG
rnacentral:rRNA from 1 species